rnacentral:rRNA from 1 species
AGAGUUUGAUCAUGGCUCAGGACGAACGCUGGCGGCGCGCCUAACACAUGCAAGUCGAACGAGAGAGAGGGAGCUUGCUUCCUUGAUCGAGUGGCGAACGGGUGAGUAACGCGUGAGGAACCUGCCUCAAAGAGGGGGACAACAGUUGGAAACGACUGCUAAUACCGUAUAAGCCCACGACCCGGCAUCGGGAAGAGGGAAAAGGAGCAAUCCGCUUUGAGAUGGCCUCGCGUCCGAUUAGCUAGUUGGUGAGGUAACGGCCCACCAAGGCGACGAUCGGUAGCCGGACUGAGAGGUUGAACGGCCACAUUGGGACUGAGACACGGCCCAGACUCCUACGGGAAGCAA